AUGGAGUAUUACGAGAGCAUUAAAGUAAGAAGAACUAUAUCUGGAAGGCUGUGGUCCAAGGCCAUUUUUGCCAGCUAUAAGCGGGGUCUCCAAAACCAAAGGGACACACAGCUCUUCUUAAAAUUGAAGGUGUUUAUGCCCGAGAUGAAACAGAAUUCUAUUUGGGCAAGAGAUGCGCUUAUGUAUACAAAGCAAAGAACAACACAGUGAUUCCUGGUGGCAAACCAAAUAAAACCAGAGUCAUCUGGGGAAAGGUAACUCGGGCCCAUGGAAACAGUGGUAUGGUUCGUGCCAAAUUCCGAAGCAAUCUUCCUGCUAAGGCCAUUGGACACAGAGUCCGAGUGAUGCUGUACCCCUCAAGGAUUUAAACUAAUGAAAAAUCAAUAAAUAAACGUGGAUUUGUGCUCUUGUAAAAAAAA